rnacentral:rRNA from 1 species
UACAGAGGUCCCGAGCGUUGUUCGGAUUCACUGGGCGUAAAGGGUGCGUAGGUGGUUGGGUAAGUUUGAUGUGAAAGCUCAGGGCUUAACCCUGAAAUGGCAUUGAAUACUACUUAACUGGAGGUUUGGAGGGGGACUGGAAUUCUUGGUGUAGCAGUGAAAUGCGUAGAUAUCAAGAGGAACACCUGUGGCGAAAGCGGCGCACUGGACCACACUGACGCUGAGGCGACGAAAGGCUAGGGGAGCAAACAGG